rnacentral:rRNA from 1 species
AUGAAAGUGGACAAGAAGCUGACCUGGUUUGUAUCCAUGACGAAGGAUGGGAAGAGAGAGUGGUACCGAGUAAAAUAUGAAAAUUUACCGAUGUUCUGUGGAGUUUGUGGUCUACUAGGACACUGGUAUGAAGAAUGUGGCAAUGGAGAGCAUGAUGUGGACAAGAUGGAGUGGGGGAUUUCAUAUUGGCAGAUGGAGGCCGUGGCAGAGGAAGAGGAAGAUCAAGGGGACGGGGCUUUAGUGGCCAUUCGGGCUCAAGUGAAAACCCUCUGGAUAGGGGUGGACGUAGGGAUGAUGACAUUUUUGGACAAGGUAGGGGCAGAGGAGCUAACAUACCCACGGAAAGCUGGCGUUUUAAUGCUCGAUCCCAAGGCGUCCAGAAUAAGGAAUGUAACGACGGGGAUGCACCAACAGAGGCCCCUCCGAGCCAAGAUGUUCGGGCUGUAG